AUUAACAUUAAGACAAACCAGCCGAUGCGAAGCCAAAAGAAUAUAAACUCAAUUAGAUAAAAGACUCCGAGUUGGCCAUUGAUGGCGCUGUAAAAUUCACUUGGCUACACACACACACACAUACGCACGCACGCACGCACGCACACACACACGCGUGCAAACAGAGGAACUGACGCACCCACGAAGAUACUCGAAAUUUUUUGGAAGCGUGUUAAUUUGUUUUUAAUUCUUAAGGCCUUAAGGCCAACGGAGAAAGUUGAGCAUUUGGCUAUAAAUUAACAUUUAGUUACGCUACAUAAAAACCUGUCUAAAACAAGCAGAAAGUGCAUGAGUGCGCUCGAGCGUGUGUGUGUGUGUGACGAACUUUGAACUCAAGGAGCAGCACACAUAGCAUCACUUUACAUCUGUUAACCAGAAAUAUAAGUUUGGCUUGACACGGCUCAACAUCAAAUGGAAAUCGUCACGCUUCUAAGCAACCGAUGCCGAUUCCCAAUUUCGAGCCCAAUCUAUUAGCAAUCACUGAGCAGGGAGCUCUCUACCCCCCCAUCAUCAUCAUCAUCAUUUGGAACUGUUUGCUGCGUAGGCAGCUCAUCUCGCUACUUGGCUAUUGAAAUUGUGCUUGGAGUGAUUCAUUUAAUGGAGCAUGAAAUCUGUAACAUUCUCUAAACAAUUUCACAGCACUGCAAAGUGGCCGCUAAUGAUGACUCUAAUUAGCUCUUAUGAGGUGUGUGGUCAAUAACAACCGUGACAAAGGUCCAUUCUUUGAGUUGAGAAUAAAUCCUGAAUGAUUUACAGAGAUUAAUUCAUAGCGGGGAAGAGGGAUAGCGAAAGUAUUGAUUGUAUAAAGCAUUUGUAUAAUUGUA
rnacentral:sRNA from 1 species